CCUACGGGUGGCAGCAGUAGGGAAUCUUUCACAAUGGGCGAAAGCCUGAUGGAGCAACGCCGCGUGCAGGAUGAAGGCCUUCGGGUUGUAAACUGCUUUUAUAAGCGAGAAAUAUGAUGGUAACUUAUGAAUAAGGAUCGGCUAACUCCGUGCCAGCAGCCGCGGUAAUACGGAGGAUCCGAGCGUUAUCCGGAUUUAUUGGGUUUAAAGGGUGCGCAGGCGGAUUUUUAAGUCAGCGGUCAAAUCGUGGGGCUCAACCCCAUCCAGCCGUUGAAACUGGGGAUCUAGAGUGUGCGAGAGGUAUGCGGAAUGCGUGGUGUAGCGGUGAAAUGCAUAGAUAUCACGCAGAACCCCGAUUGCGAAGGCAGCAUACCGGUGCACAACUGACGCUCAGGCACGAAAGCGUGGGUAUCGAACAGGAUUAGAUACCCUAGUAGUC
rnacentral:rRNA from 1 species